rnacentral:rRNA from 1 species
CCUACGGGAGGCAGCAGUCGAGAAUCAUUCACAAUGGGGGAAACCCUGAUGGUGCGACGCCGCGUGGGGGAAUGAAGGUCUUCGGAUUGUAAACCCCUGUCAUGUGGGAGCAAAUUAAAAAGAUAGUACCACAAGAGGAAGAGACGGCUAACUCUGUGCCAGCAGCCGCGGUAAUACAGAGGUCUCAAGCGUUGUUCGGAAUCACUGGGCGUAAAGCGUGCGUAGGCUGUUUCGUAAGUCGUGUGUGAAAGGCGCGGGCUCAACCCGCGGACGGCACAUGAUACUGCGAGACUAGAGUAAUGGAGGGGGAACCGGAAUUCUCGGUGUAGCAGUGAAAUGCGUAGAUAUCGAGAGGAACACUCGUGGCGAAGGCGGGUUACUGGACAUUAACUGACGCUGAGGCACGAAGGCCAGGGGAGCGAAAGGGAUUAGAUACCCUAGUAGUC